rnacentral:tRNA from 1 species
CGGAGUGUAGCGCAGCCUGGUAGCGCACCUGGUUUGGGACCAGGUGGUCGUGGGUUCAAAUCCCCCCUCUCCGACCA